rnacentral:lncRNA from 1 species
UUGGCAGGGAGACACACUGAAUUAAUUUUUAAUCACAGAAUCCCAGGAUGUAAAAGGCUGGAAGGGACCACAGCGGCUCCUCUGGAGCCACCUCCCUGCUCCAGCAGGGACAUCCCAGAGCACAGGAUUGUGUCCCAAUGGCUCUGGAAUAUCCCCAGAGGGGAGAGCCCACAGCCUCUCUGCACAAUCUGCUCAGGGCUGGCACUGCCCGGGGCAGAAGGGCCUCCUGUGCAGGGGGAAUUGCUGGGCUCAGUCCCUGCCCGUGGCUCUGGGGCCAUCGCUGGGCCUGGAGCAGAGCCUGGGGCUGCUCUGACACCCAGGGACAGACAGGGACAGGCAGGGACACACAGGGACAGACAGAGACACCCAGGGACAGACAGGGACAGGCAGGGACACACAGGGACAGACAGAGAUACCCAGGGACAGACAGGGACAGGCAGGGACACACAGGGACACCCAGGGACAGACAGGGACACACAGGGACAGACAGGGACAGACAGAGAUACCCAGGGACAGACAGAGAUACCCAGGGCUGAGCGCUCUCACUGGGCUCUCUCCAGGCUGAGCAGCCCCAGCUCCCUCAGCCCCUCCUGGGCACCGAGAUGCUCCAGGCCCUUCUCAGCUCCAGGAGCUCCUGGCCCUGCUGUGCUGAGGAGCCACAGCUGGACAC